CUCCAGCUGCUGGAGCCUGGGUACCUCUUAUUUGGGCAAGGGUGGCUGGGCAUCUCUUGUGUGGGCUAAGGGCAGCGGGAGGCUGAGCGUGACAGAGGGCCUCUUGUGUGACUGGCAGGCGGCAGGGACAGACCACAACAGUCAACUCGGAAACCAGAGGGAGGCUUGGCCCCGCCACCACAAGGGGUCUGUGAACAGGCUCCAGCUGUGGCCUGGCAUCUCAGAGGUGGGCAAAAAAGAGGGCCCUGCAACGGAGCACCACCUGUUGUUGCUCCCACUCCCCUGGGAGCGCACCCUCGCUGCUGCUGCUGCCACUGCCAAACGCUCUGGGCAGCGCCCAGACACCUGAUCACUGUCACUGCCCAGGACCCUGCAACUAGGAGCAGCCUGUGCAGCACCUGCUGUGUGGAGGAGGGAAACCCCAGCCUGAGAUGCUCGGGCGGGGGCUGGGCGCUGAGACGGUGGCUCUGGAGGAAAUCAGUGGCCCUGCACAGGGCGCCUGCGCUGUUUCCAUGACGACCCGUCUCCCAGCCCCGGGUCUUUCAGCUGCGCCCCAUCCCAGUUAACCCCAGAUGAGAACCAGCCAUCACAGCCCACGGAGCCCUAGUAACCGGCUUCACCUGAUCGGCCCUCCGUGCGCAGCUCCUGACGCUUGCAGCCCCCGGACAGCGGUUCUAAACUGAAGGAACGGACACGUCCCCAGAGAGUCAGCUGUCCUCCUGGGCAUUUAGACCUAUAACGCUCCCCCCAUCCUGAAAAAGAGGGGGCUGUAGAAGCACGCUCUGGAUUCCAGCUCCUCUUCUUGCUAACACAUCCCAUGUUGUUUUUUGGUUGUUUUUUUGUCUUUUUGCCAU